GACGAACGCUGGCGGCGUGCUUAACACAUGCAAGUCGAACGGUGAAGCUCCAGCUUGCUGGAGUGGAUCAGUGGCGAACGGGUGAGUAACACGUGAGCAACCUGCCCCUGACUCUGGAAUAAGCGCUGGAAACGGCGUCUAAUACUGGAUACGAGAAGGGUCCGCAUGGGCACUUUCUGGAAAGUUUUUCGGUUGGGGAUGGGCUCGCGGCCUAUCAGCUUGUUGGUGAGGUAAUGGCUCACCAAGGCGACGACGGGUAGCCGGCCUGAGAGGGCGACCGGCCACACUGGGACUGAGACACAGCCCAGACUCCUACGGGAGGCAGCAGUGGGGAAUAUUGCACAAUGGGCGAAAGCCUGAUGCAGCGACGCCGCGUGAGGGAUGACGGCCUUCGGGUUGUAAACCUCUUUCAGCAGGGAAGAAGCGAAAGUGACGGUACCUGCAGAAGAAGCACCGGCUAACUACGUG
rnacentral:rRNA from 1 species